rnacentral:lncRNA from 1 species
AUGUUUCUAGGUCAGUCAAGCAGCCUGGGAGCUGCUGAAUUUGAAUCCACCAAUCAGAGAGGCUGUGUACUUUUUCCCGCCAAAACAGGUGCAGCCGUUUUCACGUAUUUGUGCCAAAACAUAGUGUUUCUGCCAUAUUGUGGUACUACUACAUUACAACAUGAAUACGGAUUAAAGACGAAAGAAACUGGCACCAAAUUCCUCCACUACAAACCAGUCUGAUACCACUUCUUUGCAGUGUUCACGUUUACUAAGGCACUACCCAAAAGGCGCCACAAGAGGGCACUCCAACACAAGAGAUGACCUAUGUACACUGAUGCACUUAGUAACAGUCAGCCUCCUUGAAUUGGCAGAAAUACUGUGAUUUAGUAGUAAUACUAUGAUGUUGCAGACAUAGUAUGUUUUUGCACUACUCAUUUGUAGUGAAAAAAAUUAGCAAUAUAAAUUACAGGUCUGUGAAAGUGUAUAAAUUUGUAGUGAAAAAAAA